rnacentral:rRNA from 1 species
AUCUUUUUUAUUAAUAAGAUCUUUUAAAAAAAAUUAUGCUGUUAUCCCUAAGGUAAUUAAUUUUAGUAACUUAAAUUUUAAGAUAAUUUAAUCAAUAAUUAAUGUUUUUUUAAAAAAAAUUUUUUAAAUUUUUUAAUUACCCCAAUUAAAUUUAUUUUUUAAAUUUAAAUUAAAUAAAUUAAAAAUUUAAUUAAAAAAAUAAAUAAAAUUCUAUAGGGUCUUAUCGUCUUUUAAAUUUAUUUAAGUUUUUUAACUUAAAUAAAAAUUUUAAUUUUUAUUUAAUGGAGACAGGGUAUAUUUCAUCUAAUCAUUCAUUCUAGUUUUUAAUUAAAAAACAAAUUAUUAUGCUACCUUUGUACAGUUAUAAAUACUGCAGCCAUUUAAAUAUUUC